rnacentral:rRNA from 1 species
GACGAACGCUGGCGGCGUGCUUAACACAUGCAAGUCGAACGGAAAGGCCCUGCUUUUGUGGGGUGCUCGAGUGGCGAACGGGUGAGUAACACGUGAGUAACCUGCCCUUGACUUUGGGAUAACUUCAGGAAACUGGGGCUAAUACCGGAUAGGAGCUCCUGCUGCAUGGUGGGGGUUGGAAAGUUUCGGCGGUUGGGGAUGGACUCGCGGCUUAUCAGCUUGUUGGUGGGGUAGUGGCUUACCCAGGCUUUGACGGGUAGCCGGCCUGGGAGGGUGACCGGCCACAAUAGGACUAAGGGACGGCCCAGUCUCCUACGGGGGGCAGCGGUGGAGAGUAUUACACAGUGAGCGGAAGCCUGAGGCAGCAGCGCCGCGUGCGGAAUGACGGCCUUCGGGUUGUGAACCGCUGUCGCCUGUGACGAAGCGUGAGUGACGGUAAUGAAUAAAGAAGCACCGGCUAACUACGUG